AUGGGUCACAGCAGGAGUUGUCACCAGGGACAUCACCAGGCUGCCCCAGCCCCACCACACCUGGAUUCUGGUGACCAGGGAGUGGGCAUGCAGAGGAAUGCUGGGCUGGAUAGGCAUGGGGGCAAUGCUCAGGGGGUUUCUAACAAGAGGAAAUGCAAGCACCAUAGGGCAGGACAGGGCACAGAACUGUGCUUGGGGCUGAAGAAAGAGGAGCCUAGGGCUCUCAAUGGUGGCAGAUGCCCAGAGGGGCUUUGGGGACAUCCUGAAUAUCCCCAGCUCCCUGUUCCCUCCUGCCCAGACCUGAUAAGCUCCCUUUCCAUCCACCAGGCCUUGGCUCUUGGUGUUCUUGUGUUCUUUCAGGCUCUGCUGACAAUCCAGCCCAGCCUGCAGCACCAUGACCAGGCCAAUAUGGACAUGGCCAAAUGGACAGAAGAGUGUGAGGAAUAUCUGCAUCAUGAGAUGAUUUGGCUGCUGCAGAUGCUCGUUGUGGUCCUCCCACUCCAGCAUGUAGUUCAAGGGCAUUCAACGGGAAGGAUUCAGAGAUUAAAUGAGGCACUGGAGAGAUGAGAAAACUGGAGCAGAGAGCAGAGGUGAGAGGCUGCUUAAAGUUAAUGUGCUGAUAUAUGAAUGGGGUGGCAACAAACAGCAGGGCUGAAAGCUCUCUGGGGAGAUCUUCAGUCUGCCAGGCCAAAAUGAACAAAUCCAAAGGUUGAAUUCCAUGGGAGAGGUGGAGAGAGAGGAAGAGAGGAAGAGAGGGAGGCACAGGCACAUCAGUUCCCAGCACGGGGGACACCUGUGGGGAGAUAUGCUCCCAUGCCAGCAGUUCCACAGUGCCCCAUGUUCCCGGAGCUUUCCCUGGCCUAUUUCUCUGUGGGGCUGCAGGGGAAAGGAGAUGGUUGGAAGAAUGGAGGAAAUGCAAAGCUUUGCUGAACUAUGACAUAGUUCAUAUGUUUCUCAGGCUGAGCAUCACCUGGGAAUAGCAGUCAGGAUCUCAUUGCCAAAUCACAGACAGUUCAAAGGAAUAAUAAGUCCCUUGCAGCGAGGUGUAAACAGUUAAGUCAAUUGGACUGGUCCAAACGAGGAGGCAGCAGCAGCUAAUGGGGAAAAAACAGUGGGUGUGAAAGGGCUCUUUGUCCCAGCAGGAAGACGAAGGGCGCCCAGAGGCUGGGCACUGGGACGCACCCUGACCGGGGCACAGGGCAGGCUUGUUUGCAUUGCAGGGUGCAGGCUUCCAGAGAAGAGGUGCUUUUACAGGCUGGUUCAUUUUGAAGGCAGACAACCCUUUGCCUGGAAGGUACUUUGACCUUCAGAACAACAGAAUGGCUCAGCUGAUGCAGAAGAGGAAGGCAGACCCAAGGAGGAGCUCCAGCCCUUGCACAGGGACAGCUCAGCCGUCCAAGACACCAUGUACUGUCCUCCCCUCCAGCUCCUCCAGGCCCAGGGUGGGAGGCUACAGCUCACAGAAGACUUGGCAACCUUGGGAGGAUGAACUGAAGCAUGGGGAGAAAAAAGCAGGGGGAGCUUUUUUCCCUGCUGUAAAAGGCCUUAGAACCACAAACAGAAUCGCUGCGCCACUGAGAGGGUGGGAGGUCAGCAGCACCUGGGCAGGAAAGAGAUGCAAUCUCAAUACCCUCCUUUCCUGACCUGAGAGGCAUAGCAAAUAAAGGAAAG
rnacentral:lncRNA from 12 species